rnacentral:tRNA from 1 species
GAAAAAUUUAGUUAAAUUUAUAACAUUAGUUUGUCAAACUAAAAUUAUUAAAAAUUAAUAAUUUUU